rnacentral:rRNA from 1 species
CUGCCCUGCACUUUGGGAUAAGCCUGGGAAACUGNNUCUAAUACCGAAUAGGACCACGCGCUUCAUGGUGUGUGGUGGAAAGCUUUUGCGGUGUGGGAUGGGCCCGCGGCCUAUCAGCUUGUUGGUGGGGUAAUGGCCUACCAAGGCGACGACGGGUAGCCGGCCUGAGAGGGUGACCGGCCACACUGGGACNNNNNNNCGGCCCAGACUCCUACGGGAGGCAGCAGUGGGGAAUAUUGCACAAUGGGCGCAAGCCUGAUGCAGCGACGCCGCGUGAGGGAUGACGGCCUUCGGGUUGUAAACCUCUUUCAAUAGGGACGAAGCGCAAGUGACGGUACCUAUAGAAGAAGCACCGGCCAACUACGUGCCAGCAGCCGCGGUAAUACGUAGGGUGCGAGCGUUGUCCGGAAUUACUGGGCGUAAAGAGCUCGUAGGUGGUUUGUCGCGUUGUUCGUGAAAACUCACAGCUUAACUGUGGGCGUGCGGGCGAUACGGGCAGACUAGAGUACUGCAGGGGAGACUGGAAUUCCUGGUGUAGCGGUGGAAUGCGCAGAUAUCAGGAGGAACACCGGUGGCGAANGCGGGUCUCUGGGCAGUAACUGACGCUGANGAGCGAAAGCGUGGGGAGCGAACAGGAUUAGAUACCCUGGUAGUCCACGCCGUAAACGGUGGGUACUAGGUGUGGGUUCCUUCCUUGGGAUCCGUGCCGUANCUAACGCAUUAAGUACCCCGCCUGGGGAGUACGGCCGCAAGGCUAAAACUCAAAGGAAUUGACGGGGGCCCGCACAAGCGGCGGANCAUGUGGANUAAUUCGAUGCAACGCGAANAANCUUACCUGGGUUUGACAUGCACAGGACGCCGGCAGANAUGUCGGUUCCCUUGUGGCCUGUGUGCANGUGGUGCAUGGCUGUCGUCAGCUCGUGUCGUGAGANGUUGGGUUAANUCCCGCAACGAGCGCAACCCUUGUCCUA